rnacentral:rRNA from 1 species
GACAGAGGGUGCAAACGUUGCUCGGAAUCACUGGGCGUAAAGGGCGUGUAGGCGGGACAGUAAGUCGGGCGUGAAAUCCCUGGCUCAACCCAGGAACUGCACUCGAAACUACUAUUCUUGAGUGUCGGAGAGGAAAGCGGAAUUCCUGGUGUAGAGGUGAAAUUCGUAGAUAUCAGGAGGAACACCAGUGGCGAAGGCGGCCUUCUGGACAGUGACUGACGCUGAGACGGCGAAAGCGUGGGAGCGAACAGG